rnacentral:rRNA from 1 species
UGAGGAAUAUUGGCCAAUGGGCGCAAGCCUGAACCAGCCAUGCCGCGUGCAGGAUGAAGCAUCUAUGGUGUGUAAACUGCUUUUGUACGGGAAGAAACCACCCCUCGUGAGGGGUAUUGACGGUACCGUAUGAAUAAGCAUCGGCUAACUCCGUGCCAGCAGCCGCGGUAAUACGGAGGAUGCAAGCGUUAUCCGGAUUCAUUGGGUUUAAAGGGUGCGUAGGCGGCUUUUUAAGUCAGUGGUGAAAUCCUGCCGCUUAACGGUAGAAUUGCCAUUGAUACUGAAAAGCUUGAGUACAAUUGAGGUAAGCGGAGUGUGUAGUGUAGCGGUGAAAUGCUUAGAUAUUACAUGGAAUACCAAUUGCGAAGGCAGGUUACUACUUGUGGAUUGACGCUGAUGGACGAAAGCGUGGGGAGCGAAC